GCGAUUGAAUGUUUGAAGGGGAAGAAUUUGCAAUUGAGUGCUUUUGCACUUCUAGUAAUCAAAAGUGCUGAGAUGGAUUAAAAUAGUAUUAAAAUCUGGCUUGGCUUGCCCCAUUAGCAAGCACAUGAUUAUUGUAAUUAAAAAACAAAAUUUGUGCCUCAAAUGACACCCUUACCAGCUUACCCUACCCUUUCUAUUUCCCUUUCUCCAGCCCGUUGUAUUUUUCUCUUUCUAUCUCUAUAUUUGACCUAAAUCCAAUCUCUUUCAUUUUUUUUUUGGAUAAACUUGCUUUGAUGGUUUUAUGAAAUAUAAAUUUUUUUUUUUCACUGAAUGUACCCAACCAAAGAAAAGUUCAUAAAAUUAAGGAAUUUAAGGCCUAGAGAGAGAGAGAGAGAGAGA
rnacentral:misc_RNA from 1 species